rnacentral:rRNA from 1 species
UCUGGCAGUCUCUGGCUGUCCGAGUUGUAAUCUAGAGAAGUGUUAUCCGCGCUGGACCAUGUACAAGUCUCCUGGAACGGAGCGUCAUAGAGGGUGAGAAUCCCGUCUUUGACAUGGACUACCAGGGCUUUGUGAUGCGCUCUCAAAGAGUCGAGUUGUUUGGGAAUGCAGCUCAAAAUGGGUGGUAAAUUCCAUCUAAAGCUAAAUAUUGGCGAGAGACCGAUAGCGAACAAGUACCGUGAGGGAAAGAUGAAAAGAACUUUGGAAAGAGAGUUAAACAGUACGUGAAAUUGUUGAAAGGGAAACGCUUGAAGUCAGUCGCAUUGGCCAGGGAUCAACCUUACAUUUUGUUGGGUGUACUUUCUGGUCAAUGGGUCAGCAUCAAUUUUGACUGUUGGAAAAAGGUCAGGGGAAUGUGGCAUCUUCGGAUGUGUUAUAGCCCUUGGUUGUAUACAGCAGUUGGGAUUGAGGAACUCAGCACGCCGCAAGGCCGGGUUUUUAACCACGUACGUGCUUAGGAUGCUGGCAUAAUGGCUUUAAUCGACCCGUCUUGAAACACGGACCAAGGAGUCUAACAUGCCUGCGAGUGUUUGGGUGGAAAACCCAUGCGCGUAAUGAAAGUGAAAGUUGAGAUCUCUGUCGUGGAGAGCAUCGACGCCCGGACCAGACCUUUUGUGACGGUCCCGCGGUAGAGCAUGUAUGUUGGGACCCGAAAGAUGGUGAACUAUGCCUGAAUAGGGUGAAGCCAGAGGAAACUCUGGUGGAGGCUCGUAGCGAUUCUGACGUGCAAAUCGAUCGUCGAAUUUGGGUAUA